rnacentral:rRNA from 1 species
CCCUUAGAUGUUCUGGGCUGCACGCGCGCUACACUGAUGCACUCAACGAGUUUACGACCUUGCCCGAUAGGGUUGGGUAAUCUUUUUAAAAUGCAUCGUGAUGGGGAUAGAUUAUUGCAAUUAUUAGUCUUCAACGAGGAAUUCCUAGUAAGCGCGAGUCAUCAGCUCGUGCUGAUUACGUCCCUGCCCUUUGUACACACCGCCCGUCGCUCCUACCGAUUGAGUGCUCAGGUGAAUAAUUCGGACUGCAGCAAUGUUUGGAUCCCGAACGUUGCAGCGGAAAGUUUAGUGAACCUUAUCACUUAGAGGAAGGAGAAGUCGUAACA